UACGGAGGGGGCUAGCGUUGUUCGGAAUUACUGGGCGUAAAGGGUGCGCAGGCGGUUCUGCAAGUCAGGCGUGAAAGCCCCGGGCUUAACCUGGGAAUGGCGCUUGAAACUACAGGACUGGAGUAUGGCAGAGGGAGGUGGAAUUCCACGUGUAGCGGUGAAAUGCGUAGAGAUGUGGAGGAACACCGAUGGCGAAGGCAGCCUCCUGGGCCAAUACUGACGCUCAUGCACGAAAGCGUGGGGAGCAAACAGG
rnacentral:rRNA from 1 species